rnacentral:tRNA from 2 species
GCCCUGGUAGCUCAGAGGAUAGAGCAACUGCCUUCUAAGCAGUGGGUCGUGGGUUCGAUCCCCGCCCGGGGCGCCA